rnacentral:sRNA from 12 species
GGCCCAAACUUAGUAGCCCCAAGUGGGUAAAAGGCAUGGUUAUUCAAAACCGUUCAAAGCAUACGACGCUCGUCGUUAGGUUUUGCUUUGAACGGUCGCACGCAGGAAUGUGUGUGGGGUUCCGGAAACGGGAUC